GUUUUCAAUAAAUACAUAUAUAAAGAAACAUAAAAGUGAUCAACACUGGCUAAAAUUUAAUUGUAUAAAAUCUACAUUACACUAUUACUUUUCAUUUGUUUAUGGACAUGCACCAAUUUCUUUUCUGAAACUACAUAUUGAAAACAUUUUAAUAAAAAAUUACAAAACAAUGUAAGUGUAUCACUUAAUUUCAUCUGGAUAAUGAGCACCAAAGUAAAAUAGUUCCCAAUAAACAGAAGGAAAACAACUGAAUUAAUUUUUGUAGAUCUACUAUAAAUAACAAUAUCACAAAGUAACAGAUCUUAAUCACAUGUUUUGCCCUCUUAUUAAAUUUACAGAAAGCAGAAAAAACUAAUUUUUACAACACCAAGUCCUUCAAAUCUCUUUUCCUUUCGUUUUCUAUUUUGUUUGAUUAUGUAAUUAUAAAAAAUAAUGUUUUUAAACAAUUUUUAUCAUACAAUAUGUCAUAAUUACUUUAAAACUAUGAAAACAAUCCAUUGUUUUGUACUAAUCACAAUACUAAAAAAAAACAAACCCUAAAACACUGUUUUGUAUGAUAAUUUGAGGUUUUUGUUUGACUGAUGACACUGAAAUAUUCUUAAAUAAAACAGAGUUUACCAUAAAUUCAUACAUUGAUUUCUCUUGAUGACUAAUAACUCAAAACUGUUUGGUCCUGUAGGUAAGUGCCUUUUAAAAUUUAAGGGAUUCAUCUCCAUAAUAAAACUUACAGGUGACUGGACACAUAAGGUUCUUAGUGUCUUUACACUUUCAUGGCAGUGCAAAAAAAUACAACCAAGCAAAAUUAACCAUAUGGAUUUUAUAAUCCUUUACCGGAAAAUGAUAGUAUCCCAACCAAAAACAUCUUAUAACAUAUUCAAUUAAGAUAAAACAAAAACACAUCAGAUCUACCCAUAUGAGGUCUAAUUUGAUUUGAAUAGUAACAGACAAUAUAUUGCUAAGAAAUGUCAUGAAAUGGGUCUUAAACAUGAAAUUACAUAUAAAAAAAAACAUGAUAUUUAAACAUAAUGAAAAUGGCAAGUCUUGGUAGCUCUAAAUUUAGUGGUUUAUUGCUCUCAAAUAUUUCUGCCUGAAAACAAGACAUCAUACAAAGGUUGAAUUUAAGGUGUAUGUGUAAAGAAAUUGUUCAAAUCCCUGAGGAAUUUUUAAAAAUUUGAAUCUAGUUAUCACCAGAAAAUAAAUUGAAGCGUAAUCAGCCAUUGUAAUUUCCAUUUGUGAAAAAUAAUACCCAGCAAAGAUCUUUUAAAAAUAUCAAACAAGACAUCAUUAUAAACAAAACAUGCUUAGAAGUUUCUAACCAUUCAGCAUUUUAUAUAAAAUAAAUAAUGAAAAAUAUGAACAGAAAGUUCAUGUUUUGAUUGGAUUAAUUAUUAAUUUUGAUAAUAUAUACAAACUUAGACCAUGAUGAGUGGGAUAUGACAUUAAUUUGAUGUCACUGCAACAUUGGAAUUUAUGAAACUGGAAUAAAAUUAUAAUUGCCUUGUUCAUGAUUGACAUUAUGUUGAUUAUUAUUAUUUCAACUUGAACCCUGAAAUGAUUUCAUAUUUUAUAUUUAUCUCAAUAAAUUAUGACACAGUUAGUAAACAAAAUCUUCCAAAAUAUUGAACAUAAGUUAUGGAAUUUUCUCUAUUCCAAAAAAGAUAUUCAUUAGUUUUGAUGAAUCAUUACACUCUCACAGCACCUCCAAGCAUUCUACAAUUUAUCAAAUUAUUUGGAACUGAUGAUUUAAUUCAAUGAAAUGUUAGGUGAAGUUUUUCUGUAGUAUUGGACAACAUAAAACUUUAUUCAUGCUAAUGUUUACUUUAUUUGAAAAUAUUUCUACACAAGUUUUUAAAAAUGGCACUUUAAACAUUUUUUCCUUAAUGAAACCCAACAAUAAUUUCUUAAUAAACAGUACCCAAUAGCAAAGGAAGUGAUAAUAAUAUAAACAAACAGGAAAUGAUAAACAAAAUCUUCAUAAAUAAAUAGGUCAGGUUCUUGAUUCUUUCCCUCACUCUAAUUAGGUAUCCCAUUAAUAUCUUAUACAACAAUAAUGUACUAAUAAAUGAUAUUUUUAUAAACACAAUGCUAAAUCAGAGUAGGAAACAUAAGUAGCAGCAUGUGUUAACACAACAUGGCAUUUGAUUCUGAAAAAAACAGUAAUAAACAAAUAAUGUGAUAAAUAGGGUGGGAAUGGGGUUUGAUAAUUGAGCGAGGAAAAAAGCUUGGAAUUUAAUGUGAUAGGUUAUAAAUACAUGCAUAAUUAAUACAACAAUUAAUAUACUGAAUUUAAAAAAAAACACUAAUGCAGUUAAAAUAAAGUAAGAAAAGAGCCAUCUGUACCCUGAUAAAAGUUGGGAUCACAUAUUAAUAUCAAAUUUCAUAACUUAUUCUCUCAAAUCCCUGCUUGAUACAAUGUAGGAUUAAAUAAAUCAGCCCUCAUGUGAAAUGGAUUUCCAAAGGAAAAACUUGUGACACAUACAAUUAAAUUAUUCUACAUGUAUUUUAAUACAAUGUAUCUACAUAAAAGAGUUGGCAAGUUAUGCAUAUUAAAUUAAAACAAAAUCAUGCAGGUAUGUGGUCUAAUUGAUAUAACAAUGAUAACGUAGGAUGGUAAAGGUUUUUUUUCGUGCAACAUGUUUUGCAAUUUUAUUUCAUGUGCAGAUGUGAACCAGAUGCUCUGCAGGGCGCAGCUUUAUACGACCACAGAGUUCGAACCCUGAACAUUGGGACAAGUAUGGACACAACAUUCAAGCUUGAUACUUGUGAUUAAAUAGUUGACACAACACAGGUUUCUGACACAUAAUGAAUGUGGUCUACGAACUUUAACUUAAAAACUUUAAAUUGGACAUUACCUAUUAUGGUGCAAUAUAAACUGGAAACCAAAAGUCUUCGAAAGCCGCCACCGCCGACUAGGGACAACGACGACGCCAACGUGAUACCAAUAUACGACCAAAAUUUUUUUCAAUUUUUGCGGUCAUAUAAUUGUUUGUUCAUUGUGAGAUGGCAAUUUUAUUUCACGUUCAUCCGUGCAGAUACCCCCCUUUUACGCCUCUCAUAAUGAGUUCAGACUGUUGUAGGACAUUUAGCCAACUACAUAAGACAUUUGAGGAAAAAAUUCAAAGUUUUAUGGCCAAAGUAGAACUCGCUUUACUCUAGCAUGCUAUUUCCUUUCUUGAUCUGAUAAAAUAGCGCCAUUGAAUAGUAGGUAUUUGUCCUGUGCCUGUUCUGAAAUAUGAAAAUAUUAAAAAAAUAUAGCGGAUUUGUAUACAUGUAACUAAAAAUAAACAAAUCUGUGUGAUAAUAACACAUAAUGCUGCAGUUUUUAUAUCAUAAGAAGUUAACAACAAAAAUGAAAAAGGUGUAAAACAAAAAUGAAAAAUGUGUUAUAAAAAAUAAUGAGAAAUAUAUGUGAUAUUGUGAUUAUGUGAAAAACAGUGAUUAUGUGGUCAUCAACUUAAUUUCUCAUCUGAUAGCAGAUACAGCACUGUAAAAAAAUCUUGUAAAUUAAAGUCCAGAAAA
rnacentral:lncRNA from 1 species